rnacentral:lncRNA from 9 species
CACCCAAGACCUACCGCAAGAGAAUAGCCUUGGUAACGUAUUCAUCUUUAUUAGUUCCAUAGAUUAUAUUAUUAUUAUAUGAUUCAAAUAUGAAUAAUUGGUAAUCUUAUUCAAGCAGUGCCAAGAACCAUGGUUUCAAGGGCAUGUCAUCCUGAACAGGCAAUUUCUUUUUCUGAUUUUGAAGCCAAAUGACAUGCACCUUGUUUCAUAAGCAUCAGGAUUACAGCGGAAAGAAUAAGGAAAAUGAUGGGUCCCUUUCCUCCCUUUCCACAAGGCCUUACAUCUGAUUUAAGAAUUCAAGUGUUUUUCCCAAGGAUCCACAGACAUUAAAAAACAGAGGUAGGAGUUCCCUUUGUGGCUCAGUGGUAAAAAACCCGACUAGUAUCCAUGAGGAUGUGGGUUCGAUCCCUGGCCUCUCUCAUUGGGUUAAGGAUCCGGUGUGUGAG